rnacentral:rRNA from 1 species
CUGUGUGACUGCGUACCUUUUGUAUAAUGGGUCAGCGACUUAUAUUCUGUAGCAAGGUUAACCGUAUAGGGGAGCCGGAGGGAAACCGAGUCUUAACCGGGCGUUAAGUUGCAGGGUAUAGACCCGAAACCCGGUGAUCUAGCCAUGGGCAGGUUGAAGGUUGGGUAACACUAACUGGAGGACCGAACCGACUAAUGUUGAAAAAUUAGCGGAUGACCUGUGGCUGGGGGUGAAAGGCCAAUCAAACCGGGAGAUAGCUGGUUCUCCCCGAAAGCUAUUUAGGUAGCGCCUCGUGAAUUCAUCUCCGGGGGUAGAGCACUGUUUCGGCUAGGGGGCCAUCCCGGCUUACCAACCCGAUGCAAACUGCGAAUACCGGAGAAUGUUAUCACGGGAGACACACGGCGGGUGCUAACGUCCGUCGUGAAGAGGGAAACAACCCAGACCGCCAGCUAAGGUCCCAAAGUCAUGGUUAAGUGGGAAACGAUGUGGGAAGGCCCAGACAGCCAGGAUGUUGGCUUAGAAGCAGCCAUCAUUUAAAGAAAGCGUAAUAGCUCACUGGUCGAGUCGGCCUGCGCGGAAGAUGUAACGGGGCUAAACCAUG